GGAAGUAAAAGUCUAACAAGGUUUCCGUAGGUGAACCUGCGGAAGGAUCAUUAAAGAGUAAGGGUCUUCGGGCCCGAUCUCCAACCCUUUGUUUAACUACCAUGUUGCUUUGGCGGGCCCGUCUCACGACCGCCGGAAGUUUGGCUUCGACCAAACUUCUGGCCCGUGCCCGUCAGUGGCCCCUUCAAAUUCUUGAUCAAGUAUGAUGUCUUAGUUAAAAACUUAAUAGUUAAAACUUUCAACAACGGAUCUCUUGGUUCUG
rnacentral:misc_RNA from 1 species